CCUUGAGAGGGCGACCGGCCACACUGGGAUGAGACACGGCCCAGACUCUUAAAAGAGGAAGCAGUGGGGAAUAUUGCGCAAUGGGCGAAACCUUGACGCAGCAACGCCGCGUGCGGGAUGAAGGCCUUCGGGUUGUAAACCGCUUUCAGCAGGGAAGAAGCGAAAGUGACGGUACCUGCAAAAGAAGCACCGGCUAACUACGUGCCAGCAGCCGCGGUAAUACGUAGGGUGCAAGCGUUGUCCGGAUUUAUUGGGCGUAAAGAGCUCGUAGGCGGUUAGUCACGUCGGAUGUGAAAACUCAGUGCUUAACACUGAGCCUGCAUUCGAUACGGGCUGACUAGAGUAUUGUAGGGGAGACUGGAAUUCCU
rnacentral:rRNA from 1 species